rnacentral:rRNA from 1 species
UGCUAUACAUGCAAGUCGAACGAACUCUGGUAUUGAUUGGUGCUUGCAUCAUGAUUUACAUUUGAGUGAGUGGCGAACUGGUGAGUAACACGUGGGAAACCUGCCCAGAAGCGGGGGAUAACACCUGGAAACAGAUGCUAAUACCGCAUAACAACUUGGACCGCAUGGUCCGAGCUUGAAAGAUGGCUUCGGCUAUCACUUUUGGAUGGUCCCGCGGCGUAUUAGCUAGAUGGUGGGGUAACGGCUCACCAUGGCAAUGAUACGUAGCCGACCUGAGAGGGUAAUCGGCCACAUUGGGACUGAGACACGGCCCAAACUCCUACGGGAGGCAGCAGUAGGGAAUCUUCCACAAUGGACGAAAGUCUGAUGGAGCAACGCCGCGUGAGUGAAGAAGGGUUUCGGCUCGUAAAACUCUGUUGUUAAAGAAGAACAUAUCUGAGAGUAACUGUUCAGGUAUUGACGGUAUUUAACCAGAAAGCCACGGCUAACUACGUGCCAGCAGCCGCGGUAAUACGUAGGUGGCAAGCGUUGUCCGGAUUUAUUGGGCGUAAAGCGAGCGCAGGCGGUUUUUUAAGUCUGAUGUGAAAGCCUUCGGCUCAACCGAAGAAGUGCAUCGGAAACUGGGAAACUUGAGUGCAGAAGAGGACAGUGGAACUCCAUGUGUAGCGGUGAAAUGCGUAGAUAUAUGGAAGAACACCAGUGGCGAAGGCGGCUGUCUGGUCUGUAACUGACGCUGAGGCUCGAAAGUAUGGGUAGCAAACAGGAUUAGAUACCCUGGUAGUCCAUACCGUAAACGAUGAAUGCUAAGUGUUGGAGGGUUUCCGCCCUUCAGUGCUGCAGCUAACGCAUUAAGCAUUCCGCCUGGGGAGUACGGCCGCAAGGCUGAAACUCAAAGGAAUUGACGGGGGCCCGCACAAGCGGUGGAGCAUGUGGUUUAAUUCGAAGCUACGCGAAAAACCUUACCAGGUCUUGACAUACUAUGCAAAUCUAAGAAAUUAGACGUUCCCUUCGGGGACAUGGAUACAGGUGGUGCAUGGUUGUCGUCAGCUCGUGUCGUGAGAUGUUGGGUUAAGUCCCGCAACGAGCGCAACCCUUAUUAUCAGUUGCCAGCAUUAAGUUGGGCACUCUGGUGAGACUGCCGGUGACAAACCGGAGGAAGGUGGGGAUGACGUCAAAUCAUCAUGCCCCUUAUGACCUGGGCUACACACGUGCUACAAUGGAUGGUACAACGAGUUGCGAACUCGCGAGAGUAAGCUAAUCUCUUAAAGCCAUUCUCAGUUCGGAUUGUAGGCUGCAACUCGCCUACAUGAAGUCGGAAUCGCUAGUAAUCGCGGAUCAGCAUGCCGCGGUGAAUACGUUCCCGGGCCUUGUACACACCGCCCGUCACACCAUGAGAGUUUGUAACACCCAAAGUCGGUGGGGUAACCUUUUAGGAACCAGCCGCCUAA